GAUGAACGCUGGCGGCGUGCCUAAUACAUGCAAGUCGAGCGAACAGACGAGGAGCUUGCUCCUCUGACGUUAGCGGCGGACGGGUGAGUAACACGUGGAUAACCUACCUAUAAGACUGGGAUAACUUCGGGAAACCGGAGCUAAUACCGGAUAAUAUAUUGAACCGCAUGGUUCAAUAGUGAAAGACGGUUUUGCUGUCACUUAUAGAUGGAUCCGCGCCGCAUUAGCGAGUUGUUGAGGUAACGGCUUACCAAGGCAACGAGGCGUAGCCGGGCUGUGAGGGUGAGCGGCCACACUGGAACGGCGACACGGGCCAGACUCGUACGAGAGGCAGCAGUAGGGAAUCUUCCGGAAGGGGCGAAAGCCUGACGGAGCAACGCCGCGUGAGUGAUGAAGGUCGUCGGAGCGUAAAACUCUGUUAUUAGGGAAGAACAAAUGUGUAAGUAACUAGGCACGUCGUGACGGUACCGAAUCAGAAAGCCGCGGCUAACUACG
rnacentral:rRNA from 1 species